UCACAUACUUUUCCACCUGCACUGUGAAUGUUUACAUGGUGUGUUCAAUAAAAACAUGGCAACAUUUCAUUCUUUGUGUGUUAUUAGUUUAAGCAGACUGUGAUUGUCUAUUGUUGUGACUUAGAUGAUGAUCAGAUCACAUUUUAUGACCAAUUUGUGCAGAAAUCCAUAUCAUUCCAAAGGGUUCACAUACUUUUCCGUAGAGGGAGCCUGAGAAACGGCUACCACAUCCAAGGAAGGCAGCAGGCAAGCAAAUUACCCACUCCCGACGCGGGGAGGUAGUGACGA